rnacentral:rRNA from 1 species
UACGUAGGGGGCAAGCGUUGUCCGGAAUCAUUGGGCGUAAAGAGCGUGUAGGCGGCCCAGUAAGUCCGCUGUAAAAGUCAAAGGCUCAACCUUUGAAUGUCAGUGGAUACUGCCGGGCUAGAGUCCGGAAGAGGCGAGUGGAACUCCUGGUGUAGCGGUGGAAUGCGCAGAUAUCAGGAAGAACACCAACGGCGAAGGCAGCUCGCUGGGACGGUACUGACGCUGAGACGCGAAAGCGUGGGGAGCGAACAGG